CCUGCCCUGGGAGCUGCCUUCUCUCAUGGUCCCCCGCGGGUGUGCGGCAGAGAGGCCAGGCCGGUGCUGGACGGUCCGGUUGCUUCUGUCCCUCUUCCUGCCCAUCUGGGCCUGGCACGGAUGCUCUGCUCGUGUCCUUGCUAAAACCAGCUGCCUGCCUGGCACAGAGGACUUCUGCUGGCCCCCCUCCCCGGGACUGCGGGGCUCUUUACUCCGCCGCCCCCUCCCCCAUGGCACAAGGCAGAGCGCUCACUUAGAUUAAUUAAUCUGCUGCCCGGCCUGCUCCUCUGGCCCAUCUUUUAUUCAUGGACAAGCGGCGUUCUCUGCUUUACCAGGACGCGAGCAUCAAUAUUUCAUCCUUGCUUCGCCUGCCAGCAUCCCGCUCCCUCCUCCCUGCUUCUCACCGGCUCUAGGACCCGGAGAGCUGGGCCACGCUGGCCUGACCCAGGGCGUCAUCACAGAUGUCCACGCUGCCUUCAGCUUGCCCGCCGUGCCAUCGUGGACUCCAGAGUCUGCGCAAGAAGCCGCCCUUCUGAACCAGGUGUCGUUGGUUUUUUCCCACCUCCCAGGCCUAGGCAGGUGGAUAAAGGAAGCAGCGUGGGUGUUCAGGAGCACACAUCCCUCCGGCCAGCCCCCAGCCUGUCUCAUCUCGUCCACUUGAGGUCACAGAGGAAUGCGCUGUGCUCUGCCAGGGGGGUCCUGGCAGAGUGUGGAGCUGGGAUGGUAGCAGUUACUCUCAGGAGGACUUUGGGCAGACUGUGGUCCUUUCUCAGGCUGGUGGCCAGCUCUUCAUUUCUGUGUUGGGACUGGGGUUGAGGGUGCCUGCUGAGAUUCAGAAAAGGGACGUUCUUCCCAGGUCCGUGUGGUGUCUGGUGGGCCGGCUCAGGACACCAGGAGGUGGCUGGCUGGGGACCAGUGCUUCCUCCUGGUCCCUCUUCUGCACCUCUCUGGCUCUCUGUCUCUGGCAUCUUCACCUCUAGCUCUGUGGCUCUGCUGCCUGCUUCCUUCAGUCCCUUCUGGACCUGCCUUCUCACUGGCAUGGCUGAAGAUGGGGCCCCGCU
rnacentral:lncRNA from 1 species